UUUUGGGAUGCUAGUUAGGGAGCACGGGUGACGUCUAGUAAGAGGCGGCGGUUGGUCGGAGAGGUCAUGCAUGCUUUAGGAAGCGGCGGCGGGGGUAGUGUCUAGAGGACGGCGGCUGAGAAGCAACGGCGGCGGGUGCCUGCUUCAGCAAGCAACGGCAGCGGCGGCAGGCUCCCCUCUGCGGCGGCGGCGCAGAGAUCCCGUUCCGCCAAACUUAGGGACGGCGGCUUGAGGCCCUCUGCAGCAGCGGGGCAGGCUGUCCUCUGCGGCGCGGCGGAGGGGAGCCACCAGCGCGAUAGGGGGGAGGGGGGUGAAACAGCACGAUGGGGUCGGGUGACGUCGUGGUACCACCCUAGCUCUAGCCCCUACUCUCUGCGGACCACUACAUAGUUUAAGACAGUACGUUUUAUUUCCUCGCGACUCCUACUACCAAAAGUACAACGGAACCUAGUACAACCAAGCCAUCACCGGAGAUUAUACAGUCUAUCAGGUACAGCAACCUGCAGCAGCCAGACCGCCUCUCGUACAGGCGCCAGCUAGACCUCCAGCACAAGCCGAGGUAGCCGGCGCAGUGGCCGAGGCUCAAGUACGCGUGAUCGCCGGCGUCGAAGCAGAUGUAACGGUGACGGGGAGGGUGUUCCAGUACUGCUUCAACAAGAGGUGGCAUUAGUAGUUGUUAGAGUAACAUUGAUACAAAGAUGUGGAGCCGUUAUUAAUUAUCAUCGUCUAACCCCAAAACAACUAAAAGGUGUAAUCGGUACACGUAAGACACCAAACUUACCUCUUCAAACACAAACUCCGCUCAUCUCGAAAUGGUCGAAUUAUUGUCUCCCACCACAAACGUCAACGACACCCACGACUAACAAGGGGUCAGAGUCAAAGAACCUUACCGC
rnacentral:rRNA from 1 species